CAAUUCAAAGAAGCCAAGGAACCAGGAACUGGCCGUGCUGGACUCAGAGAAGGAUCCAUUAUGUAGAUUUCCCACUCUCUCUCUGUUGGCCUUCCUACAGAUGUGGACAGAUGACCCAGGCAGGCCAGCAAGCAUUCUCCAUCUCCUGAGCAAGAUUAAACCUUAUCUGGAGUUUGCUCCGUGUCCAAACCCAGGGCUUAUGUUUCCAAAAAGACAAUGACAAGAUGGGGAAAUAAUCCAGCAUGAGGAGCUCAGCAGCAAAUGAAAAGAAAGAAAGCCGCAGUGCAAUAAACAGGAGACAAUGGACCCAACAACCGGGCUACCAGACGCCAGCCUAUGACUGUGUUUGAAACAAUGCAAGAGGAAGAAGAAUACAAGGAAACAUCUCACGUGAGGAAGGUGCGCUCUGCAUGUCAGUAUGGUAACUGUUCAAAGCCCAAGAAGAACCUGGAAGAUAAGGGACAUUCGAGAAAAAAAAAAAAAGUGCUAGGUAAUCGGAUCAGCCUGGCUCUGAGCCCAAGUGAAUUCAGUAAUUGAAGAGUUUUGUUUCUCCAAGAAGCCCUCGAGACAAUGCAGGCCUUAUGCUGAAUCCACUGCCCAGACCUUACCUCCCAGCACUGCCCUGGCCCCAGCUUUGGGGACCUCCCGUAAUCUCCUCCUGUGGACAAAUGAACAAAGGCCAGUCUAUUUCCCUCCGCCCCGGAGAUGCCAUCAGGGGAAAACAGAGCAUGUUUUCUUCAAAGUCCAAAACACUCAGUUUUUGGCCAGGAGGACAAACUUGUUGAACUGGGGGAGAGGGGGCUCCGAUCGGAGGCUGGGAGGCGUUGGCAGGUUUCCUGACUUCGGGUGGAGUGUGCUGGGCUCCGGGUGAGAGCCUUGGUGGGAGCUGGACUGCAGGAGGAAGAAGGGGAGCUUGCCAGAACUGGCUGGCUCCAACCUCGCAUUCUUGGCAAGGAGAGAGAGUCCUCGGAGGGGGAGGUCUCCAGAAGCUGCAGGGAGGUUGCCUUUCCUCUGCCUGUGUGUUUGCAGAACCGUAAAGGCAAUCACAUGCUUUAUUAGACGUUAAGCCAGAGUUGACGCUCGGCAAAAAUAAGCAAAGCCAAGGAACAAAACCCAAACGUCUCAAUUAGGUCAUCAGAAAGAUGUCUCCUUGGUAUCAACAAUCAAAGUUCCUAUUCAUGUUUCACUGGCAGACAUGAAAUCUGCCUUGUUUCAGAGCUGGGGUGGUCUCCUAUGCGGUCUCUCUGACCCUCGGAUCAUUUCUUUUUUUCAUUUUUAAAUUGGAGGAUAAUUGCUUUGUAGUCUUGUGUUGGUUUCGGCCAUACAGCAAUGAGAAUCAGCUGUAACUAUAUCCUCCCCUCUCUCUUGAGCCCCCCACCCCCGCCCCCCGCUCCCAAUCCAUCCCUCUAGGUGAUCACCGAGCUGGGCUCCCUAUGGUAAAGCAGCUUCCCACUAGCCAUCUAUUCUACAUAUGGCAGUGUAUACCUGUCAGGGCGUUUGUCUGCUUUGCACAUGGCAGGCAGAGUGGCCACCUUAGGUAGCAUCUUGAAGGUGCCUUUUCUUGGCAUUAACUUUCUGUUUCUCCCCACUGUCUAUGAAAUAAACUUCAACUCAUCCCUGUCACUCAAAGCCUUCCACAAUCUGUCCCUAAAGGAUUUGUUUAAUCUUAGUUUUACUGUAAACGAUCUAUCCCCUGAUCAGUUUCACAUUGUUUCCCAUUCAUGUUCUUUACUCCACGUCUUUCUUCCUGAUGUUCACACACUCCCCCCCAACCUUUCCAAGUUCUACCUACUCUAAAAUACAAGCCUCAGACACUGCACAUUCUGUAAAAGCUCCCUGAGAAAUAGUCAUUAAGAAAAUCAGACUUACUCUAGACUUGCCCUUUCAUCCACUAGUGCUAUGGUUUGGGACUAGAACAGCAACUUCUCUGAACCUCAAUUUUCUCAGCUAUAAAAUGAGGAAAACUUACAGGGAGUGUAAAAUUUUGCAGAGAAAAUCACAGAGUUCUUAGCACAUGCUUACCUAGCAUAUAGUGUUUAAAACUCCAUUUUUGAAUUUACAAUUAGGCUUACCCUGUUCUAUCUUAUUUAUGAUAAGGAGAAAUGUACUCCUAUUGUUUCAUUCUGCAUUUGAAAGAAUUCCUGCAAGGGAAAAGAAAGCCUGUGAAAAAACUCAUGAAAUCAGUAGACAACUUCACAAUUACAAGCUUAUCAUCACCUGCCUCUCUGCAUUAUUUCACAUAUGGAAUCCUGGUGGUAAGUCUAAUUUACCAAAGACAUUUUAACUAACCAUUAUAUCUUACCUGCUUCCCAAAGGAGCAGUAAAAUCAGCAUUUGCAAUAGUGUAGACAUUGUAUUCUCUGCUCAGGUUUCCAGAACAUAGAGCUAUCAUCUCAUAUUUACAGGGGACUUCAGUUUUCAAACACUGUCUUAUUUGGUCACCAAAACAAUCCUGGAAGUUAGGAAUACUCAGCAUUUUCUCACAAAGGAAGGAAGAAGGACUCAUAAUGACAAAGUGAGGCCACCAGGCUAAUGUCACGGUCAGUGCAGAAGCAAGUCACGUGGGCACAGGGUAGAGACCCAAUAAGAUUUCAUAAAGCAAAUGAAUGAAUGAAUGAACAAACAGACAAGUGAGCAAAGUAACCUGCCUUCCUCUUCGGCCGAGACAUACAAUUCUUCAGGAGUGAUGGGGGGAUAAUGCUCUGUGGUGACUUAAAUGGGAAGGAGAAACAAAAAAGACGGCUGCAUAUAUACGUACAGAGGAUUCAAUUUGCUGUGAGCAGAAACAGUGUGAAGCAGCUGUACUCCAAUGAAAACCAAAGCAAAUAAAACAUUCAGAGCAACACCUUCAAGAAAAUA